ACGUAGGGUGCAAGCGUUGUCCGGAAUUACUGGGUGUAAAGGGGGCGCAGGCGGACCGGCAAGUUGGAAGUGAAAUCCAUGGGCUCAACCCGUGAAUUGCUUUCAAAACUGCUGGCCUUGAGUAGUGCAGAGGUAGGUGGAAUUCCCGGUGUAGCGGUGGAAUGCGUAGAUAUCGGGAGGAACACCAGUGGCGAAGGCGACCUACUGGGCACCAACUGACGCUGAGGCUCGAAAGCAUGGGUAGCAAACAG
rnacentral:rRNA from 1 species